rnacentral:rRNA from 1 species
UACGUAGGGUGCAAGCGUUAAUCGGAAUUACUGGGCGUAAAGCGUGCGCAGGCGGUGAUGUAAGACAGAUGUGAAAUCCCCCGGGCUCAACCUGGGAACUGCAUUUGUGACUGCAUCGCUGGAGUACGGCAGAGGGGGAUGGAAUUCCGCGUGUAGCAGUGAAAUGCGUAGAUAUGCGGAGGAACACCGAUGGCGAAGGCAAUCCCCCUGGGCCCUGUACUGACGCUCAUGCACGAAAGCGUGGGGAGCAACAGG